rnacentral:ncRNA from 1 species
UCUUUUCAUGUGCCUGAACACAAACAAGGAAAAGCUGUCCGGCGAGUGCCAGAACGUGGUCACCAAGUUCGAAGAACGCUUGGCCAACUAGCCGUUGGUCAGACUUCAGAACUUAGAAAAAAGCAGGGCCGGAUCCCCCACACUGGUACUGAGACAGGGACCAGACUCCUACGGGAGGCAGCAGUGAGGAAUAUUGGUCAAUGGUCGGAAGACUGAACCAGCCAUGCCGCGUGCAGGAAGAAUGCCUUAUGGGUUGUAAACUGCUUUUAUAUGGGAAGAAUAAGGUGUACGAGUACAUUGAUGACGGUACCAUAUGAAUAAGCAUCGGCUAACUCCGUGCCAGCAGCCGCGGUAAUACGGAGGAUGCGAGCGUUAUUCGGAAUCAUUGGGUUUAAAGGGUCUGUAGGCGGGCUAUUAAGUCAGGGGUGAAAGGUUUCAGCUUAACUGAGAAAUUGCCUUUGAUACUGGUAGUCUUGAAUAUCUGUGAAGUUCUUGGAAUGUGUAGUGUAGCGGUGAAAUGCUUNNNNNNNNNNNNNNNNNNNNUCGAUGGGGACCAUGUGCACACGUCCUGUGGGGAGACGUGGCGAUUGGCAAGCAGCAAAUUUAAAGCUGCGCCAGCGGCCACAAGGCGUCCAAGAAACGCCUCAUGCCCCCGACAAACUCGCAA